GUCGAGCGAACAGAUAAGGAGCUUGCUCCUUUGACGUUAGCGGCGGACGGGUGAGUAACACGUGGGUAACCUACCUAUAAGACUGGGAUAACUUCGGGAAACCGGAGCUAAUACCGGAUAACAUUUGGAACCGCAUGGUUCUAAAGUGAAAGAUGGUUUUGCUAUCACUUAUAGAUGGACCCGCGCCGUAUUAGCUAGUUGGUAAGGUAACGGCUUACCAAGGCGACGAUACGUAGCCGACCUGAGAGGGUGAUCGGCCACACUGGAACUGAGACACGGUCCAGACUCCUACGGGAGGCAGCAGUAGGGAAUCUUCCGCAAUGGGCGAAAGCCUGACGGAGCAACGCCGCGUGAGUGAUGAAGGGUUUCGGCUCGUAAAACUCUGUUAUUAGGGAAGAACAAACGUGUAAGUAACUGUGCACGUCUUGACGGUACCUAAUCAGAAAGCCACGGCUAACUACGUGCCAGCAGCCGCGGUAAUACGUAGGUGGCAAGCGUUAUCCGGAAUUAUUGGGCGUAAAGCGCGCGUAGGCGGUUUCUUAAGUCUGAUGUGAAAGCCCACGGCUCAACCGUGGAGGGUCAUUGGAAACUGGGAAACUUGAGUGCAGAAGAGGAAAGUGGAAUUCCAUGUGUAGCGGUGAAAUGCGCAGAGAUAUGGAGGAACACCAGUGGCGAAGGCGACUUUCUGGUCUGUAACUGACGCUGAUGUGCGAAAGCGUGGGGAUCAA
rnacentral:rRNA from 1 species